UUUCGGAAUGCUCUUAAUUGAGAAAAGUUGCGUGACUAUCAUGGAAUAGAGUUCCGAUUAUUUUGAUGUCUGACGCCAACCCCUGUGGAGGGCUAGGAGCGCUAGGAGGAAUAUCCGAUUACUCCACGUGCGUGGUUCCCAGCGGUUGAUGUAAGUUCGUAAUCAAUCUUGACACCAAUGUCCAAACUCCUGAAAGAGGAAGGGCCUAAGCUCACCAUGGUCUGGACGUGUUCCGAUGAGGUGAACGGGGAGAGAGAACCAGAUGGAGGGCAGGACGGAGCUCAGGACAGAGCUCAGGAUGGACGAGGACCCAACAGACCCAACCCUAUCAAUGAUAUCUCUGGGACGAGAGCCAACCAAACCUCGUCCACUAUGGCUGGUCCCGAAUCACCGUUGAUGACCCGUCCGCCGGUUGCCAGUUCUACUACUCUGUCCCUCCCAGCGCAAGCGCCCAAGAUGGCUACCCCGUCCACAGAGACUAUUUUCACGUCCAAGGCUCCAAAGGGAUCCACUUCAAGCGCUGCAUUUCAAAAGUUCCAUUGCGGCCAAUGCCGAAAAACUUUUGCGUCUUGCACGGCAGUUCGAGCCCAUCGAAAAAUGAGGACUUGUCAACCAAGUAACCAGGAGACUGCAUGCUCGGUUGAACAUGAACACGAACCACUUAACCUGCUGUUUGAUUCUAUGGACGAGGCUUUGAAUUGGCGGGUAGAGAACCAACUGGACAGAUAUUUCUCCUUUAAAGGGAGCAAAAGUACCAGAGGUGUCCUAGGAGCCUAUCGCUAUUUGCGUUGCAACCAAAAUGUCAAGGACAAGAUAGCCGGAGCCAAGAAAUCAAAAAAGGCUUACCUCUGCUCGGCCAGGAUCACAUUUAACCAAACAGAAAUGUGUUGUUGCCCUGAUCCUCAAUCGGACUUGUGCUUGAAUGCUAAGCAACAAGUGAAGGUAUAUGGCUGUGUCGCCCAUUCUCACCCGAUGGGACGGAAAAAUAUUCGAUUAUCGAAAAUCGUCAAGGAUCGGACGGCGUCUCUCCUUUCAUCCGGUAUCACGUCGGAAGUUGUAAUAGACAAGUACAUGUCUAUUAAUGACCUGGAUCCCCAGAGUAAACCCGUCACCUACGACGAUAUUUACCGAAUAAAGAAGAGUUUAAAUCUUGAGGGUUAUGAUGGGAAAGCUUCUGAAGUCAGAAACGUUUCCAAUCUAUUGAUCGAUCCAUCCUUCCGCGGUUUCAAUUACGGAAAGAAAUUUGACGUGGCCUCAAUGCCGGAAGACAUCGUUGGAAAAGUGAUUGAAACCUCGGGGUAUUUCCUUCUAACCUAUGCCAGCCCCGAGAUGAUUCAGCGAUUCCAUGAUCAUCCCACAAUAGUAUCUAUUGAUGGUACUCAUGGCACAAAUGCAUCUAAAUUUGUUUUGAUAACCAUCGUGGUGUUUGAUCGCAGGGGAGAGGGAACCCCAGUAUUUCAAGCAUUAGUCGAGAAUGAAAACCAGAUCGUGUUUUCUGCUGCCUUGAAGGUACUGAAGUCAAUUGCUCCUGUGGCAUGUGGAAAAGUCCGGACCAUUUUAAGCGACACGAGCCACACCUUCAUUAAUUCUUGGAGGGCGAUAGUUAAUCAAGAUGUGAUUUGGAGUGUGUGCCAUUGGCAUUUGGAGAAGAAUUGGGCUAGAAAAAUUCAAAAUGCCGAUAUGUACAAAGAGAUAAAGAGCCUUCGACAAGUGGCGGAUAUCUCGUUGUUUACCCAAAAACUAUUAGACAUUCAAACAAAAUAGGUAGGUUUCUUGCACACUGCCCGGUGGUUUAAUUUCAUAGUGCUAAAGUUUUGAUUUCUUUCAGGAAUCUUCUGAUGAAAGUGCUUCAUGGACGUAUUUCAUUACCAACUACGGCCCCGAUGGACGUCAAGCGCCCUUGAAUGCAUGGGCCAGGCCAGCUACGCUUGGAGCUCCUCCCCAUAACCUUCAUAUUGAACGGUACCAUCGGACCAUCAAGGGGGUGUUCAAACCGAACAUGAAUAUCGCCCGGUUUUGCAUUGGUCUCAAACAAAUAAACAAGGGGUUUGUUUGGAAGGACAUCAUGUCCAAGGAGGGGAUCAGGGGAAUUGGACUGUCAAAGUUGAUGAUGGAUUUCAAUAAGUGUCAUCCUACCAAAGCCGAGCUCGGCAAUUACAGCGUCGAGAGGAUUGACAGGAAUUCCUUCCAAAUCGUUUUUCAAAGACCCUUAUCGAAGGAGCGUGAUUGCUACUCAAUGAAAAGGAAUAGAUUCCCUUGCAAUUCCGCACUCUGCUUGGUUCGUUGCGAAAGUUGCCCCAAAGACAGGACGUGUGCCCAUGAAUAUACUUGCACUUGCACCUGGUAUGCUUACAGUAAUAUCUGCAAGCAUAUUCACAUAUUGGCUUUGUUGACUUUGAAGCCUGUUCAGUGCGAAAACAUCAGUCAGACAAAUGAAAAUGACCUCUUCAAACACGAACAAUUUAGCACGGCUAAAAGAAGUUCCGAGACCGAGGAGGCGGUUGGAAUAAUCAUUGAGGAGCCGGCCAGAAGCGGAGAGGAAGAAGCCCAAAACAUGGAAUCAUUCUUGGCGGAGUGUGAUAAGGUUGAUGGAGCUGUAGGGGCGUUACUUGAUCAAUUUGAUUAUGCUCCGUAAUCCUUUAUUUCCAUCUUCCAAAACUCGACUGCCUAAAACCCGUUCUCAUCCUCGAUGCUCUUCUUUACUCCAUCUCAGAAAGCAACGCCAUCUAAUGAAAGCGAUCGAGGUGAGACAGUUCAAAAUGAGAACCGCCACAGCCCCCCUCCGAGAAUUAAAUUCUCAUGAGGACAAAUGGAAUAAUGGAAAA